CCAGAACUCAAGAAUGUUAUGUCCAAUCUGGUGAAUGGGGUGAACAAUCUGAGCAAAAAGUUGGAUGCUUUUACUGUUUCCACUAACUUUAACUCACACAAAGAGUCAAAUCCCAUCAUGAAAGUGGAACACGAGCCACAGGGCUUAUGUAUCUUGUGUAACAGUUCUGAGCAUCUAGUGGAGUGUUGUCCUAGUUUAUCCAACAUUAAGGCUGAGCAGGCAAAUGCUCUUAAUUCAUAUAAUGCCUUUAAGAAACCCACUCCCAAUUCAUUCAGCUCAGUCUACCACCCUGAUAAUAGGUUUCAUCCAAAUUUCUCAUACAAGCAAAAUGAACCUAUUCAGCAUCAAGGU
rnacentral:lncRNA from 1 species